GUUGCGUGAGAGGCAGGUCAUCGCUUUGCUCCGUCUCCCACAUCGCCCCUUUCCUCGCCACACGGAGUCGAAGGGGAAAGAAGAGGUUGAGUCGGGCUUCUCCUUGCGUCGGGUUUUCUCCUCGGUUUCUACUCCGUCCACCCCGCUUCCUCGCCUCCUCCCCUUCUGCCGGCCCAUUUUCCAAUUUUCGGGGUUCCUCCCUUCCGCUCGACUCGUUGCGUGAAGAGGAGCUUCAGCGACGCGAGGUGUGAUGGGCACCGGGGGCAAGAAAUAUAUGUACAUCAAGGAGCACAGAGCUGCCAUUUGCAUCCAGGCCCCACCUCUUUCUAGUUGGGUACACAAGAUAGCUGCUGUGUAUUUCUGCAAAAGACAUACAUGCUUCAGUCAAGUUUCCAAAGACCCUUCAUUGGGUAUUUUUGAGCAAAUAGUUAAUGGUCUGUAAUCGAGCAUAUUCUGUUUUCUCCCAAGAAGACUUAUUGCACGCACUUCAUGAUAACAACACUUCCUAUCCACGGCUACUACACCUGGGAACUUCUGAUAUGAUACUUCUCACCUAUUUUCUACUAUUUGUUAGUUGUUACCAUAUUUUCUCCCAAUAGAUUUUUCUUUACAACUUGUUCACUAAUUUUUCAUUUUCAUUAUAAUUAUCACUUGGAGUUUAUCUUUAAUUUCAUAUUGUUUUCAAUAAUUUUUAUUUUUUAUUAUGCAAUUGAUCAUUUGUUGUAGGUGGAGACAUCCAAUAUGCAAAGUCAUACAUGACCAGAUUAGAUGAUAGAAUAAUUUGGACAUAUCAGUCAAUUAGUAAACUUUAUCAACUUGUAAAUAACUGCUAAGAUUUAUAAUGACAACAUGCUCUUUCAUUCUAGGUUUGGAUUCUUGUUUCCACUUGCUUACAUGUAGAUGAUUGGCGAAUGUUCUUCUGUUUUUCUUGAAAUUUGAUAAGUCUUGCAGUGGAUAGAUGCAUGAAGCUAUUUUCAUGUUGCGUUGGUAGUUUUAAACUCUGUAAUGGCUAUCUAUCCUGAUCACUAAUGCUCUUUUGUAAUUUGGGAGCUUGCUUUUUUUGGAAGUUAAGAUUUCUAUACUUGUUGCAUAUAAACAAUUUGCUUGAUAUAUGUGAUAUUGUAAUUUUUUUGUAUCUGCACUAGAUUUUAGCACUUAUCUGAUAAGGAAUUUUAGCACCUAUCUAUCCUGAUCACUAAUGCUCUUUAUGGGGACAGGUCCAACAAGUCAUUGAUAAGACUUGUGGUUUUGCUUGUGGAACAUUUUCAAAGUUUUUUUUUACAUUAUUUGUUAUGUUUUAUGAAAAGGGUUGUUCAUGUUUAUUUUUUAUUUUUUAUAUUUUGUGGAAACUAGUUAGGGGAAUGAUUCAGUGGUUUAAUUUUUCUAGGGUCUCAAAAUUCUUGUAUGUUGCCUUUUGUAUUUUUUGAUGAUUUUAUUCUCUCUAAUCUCUUUACUUAGUAGUGCCUUUUGAUUUGUGCUGUAGUUGCUAGUUUGUCUAAUUUAUCAACCCAGUUGGAAUGUUCGGAAGGUUGCUUAUGCAAAAUUGGCUCUUCUUUGGAAAUUUUGUUGGUAAAUCUUCUUGAAAAUAUAGGUGUUGGUUGUCUUUAGUUAUUGAGAAAAUUUCACAAUUGAAGUUUAUGUAAAUGUUUGUGUUCCUUACUAAAUCUAUGUGCUCUUUGUAACUUAUGGUCAAUUGUGAUCUACUAGGUUGUUGCCUUAGUUCCUCCAAAACUUAAAUGACUUACUUUGUAUGGUUGGGGCAUAUGGACACUUAGAUCUGCUUAACCCCAUGUCGCCGCUUUAUAUUGUGAUGCAUUUAAUACUUAUAUUCAUGCUAUUUGAUGCUUAUACUCUAGUCGGAGUCAUACAAGGUUUAGGCUUCUUUGAUUGAGACUUUGCUCUUUGUGUUUCUCUUCUAGGCAUAUGGACACCUUUUGGUUUGUUUUCAUUGCCUAGUUGUUUAUAGUGUUUGUUUUUUCACUUUUGGUGCUAUAUCAAGUUUAUUCCAAACUUCUUAUGCCAAUUACUAGUUUCUUAUUUGAUUAAUUUUCUCAAUUAACUUCCUAAGAUGAUGCAUGCGUGGUCAAUGACACACAGAGUUGGUAUGAGGUACAAAUCUGCUAUCUGUUUAACUGUUAGUGAAAUGUUUUCUUCUUAUUGCAACUGCAGCUAUUUCCUAUUUCGGUGGUUCAUAUUUCCAGCUGAUAAUUUGCUCACAUCACCCUUGCAUUGCCAACAAUGGUAUAAGUAACCAUGUAUGGAAGGUAGGUCCUGCCUGUGAUUUACCUCCUUCGUGUUAGCCCUGGGAUGGGUUGGCGGGGCGCUGGGGGCGAGCGUAUUCGCCUUUUGUCAUCAUGUAUGGAAGAUAGGUCAAGUUCCCAAAGGCCCUUCGUAGGGGUAUUUUUGAACAAAUCUAGUGGUCUGUUAGUGUCAUGUAAAGUUGGACCACCUCCAGCAGAUUGUCUUACCUUUAAAUUUCCGGUUUAUUUCUAUCUAAAUUUAGUUAUCAUCCAACUUUACUUGUUGCUAGCUUAUUCUUUUUAAUUACUUCAUUUAUGCUAGGUAAUCGAGCAGAUUCUGUUUUCUUCCCAGAAGACUGCAUGCACAAUGACUGCACUUUCUACUUCUGAGCCUCCACGGCUACUACACCUAGGAACUUUUGAUAUGAUACUUUUGACCUAUUUUCUAGUAUUAGUUCGUUGUUACCAUAUUUUCUCCCAACAGAUUUUUCUUUACAACUUGUUCACCCGUUUUCAUUUUCUUUAUUACUAGAUUGUAAAUUUAGUUUAUAUUAGUUUUGCUCAUGAGCAGUUGCUAAAUGAGUGUCAAUUUUUUGGAUUCAUAUGUAUCUCUGUUGUACUCUUUAAAAUGAUAGGUCAUAUCGAAAGAAGGUUCAUUGAGGUGCCUCUUGGAGCUACAUGGGUUCUGGCAACAAUCAAUGAGAGCUUCAAGAUUUGAUACAAUUCAGGUCAUAUCGAAAGAAGGUUCAUUGAGGUGCCUCUUGGAGCUACAUGGGUUCUGGCAACAAUCAAUGAGAGCUUCAAGAUUUGAUACAAUUCAGGUGGUUUUGCAAUGGAGUUGAAUGUUGCCCAGUUUUGGUCCAGUGGAAUUGAUAGCCAUGAAGUAGCCUCUUGUAGAUUUUGAGGGAGGACCAGAUCAUAUUCCUGGACUUUGCAUUCCUAAAGCACUCACCCUCUGUUGCCUAUAUUUUUGCAGGGGCUAAUUAAUGGAUUAGUUGAAAUGCGAGAGAACAAGAUGCUUUGGAGUUUGGCGAAUUAAUUGCUCUCACAUAUGAAAAAAAUAUUUCAAAAAAUAGUUCCCAAUUUGUUAAACCGCAACCAGAACAAUCAAAAGAUUACUCUAGUUUCAAGUUGGAAAGGAAGGAAAUGUAUGUUCACAGCUCGUGCAGUCACUUAUCUUAGCUUCUCAAGAUGACUUAAGUGAGGUCAGAAAAAGAGCCCUCUUUUGCAUAAAGGUUUAUGCAAAUGUAAAUCUUGCAUUAGUUAUUGCAAGUCUUUUGAUUUUAGCUCCAGCUAUUACACAAAGUAAAUGGGAGUGGCCUAUGUAUUCCGCAGAGCGUUGUGCUUUGAUGUUUUUCAAUUAACAAAGGUGGAGACAUCUAAUUUGCAAAGUCAUACAUGACCAGAUUUGCUAGGAGAAUUUCAAAGCUUUUUGAAAAGAGUUCGCUAUUUUUUCAAGAACGCUUUUGAACAUGAUUUUUCUGAGCAUCUACCAACAUGCUGGAGUUUUUGCUUGAAGUUGAUGGAAGAAGUUGAAGAGUUUCACUUAAAGGUUUAUGUUUCAGUUUUUAGGCCUUUUUCUACCGGUUAGAACUUUUGCAAAUUAUUAUUUCAUUGCUUUAAUUCUUCUAUUUUGCCCUUGCAAUUCAUCUAAAAUGCCCUUUUUGCCUUUUUUUUCCCAAGAAAGUGUCAACACUUGAUCUUUCUACCAACUUUUAUGAGGAGCAAAUGCAUGUUUAUUUUGUUUAUGUUGGUUGAUAAUGCUUUUAGCCGACACUAUAUAGUUGGAAUAAGGCUUGUUUGUUGUUGUUGGUUUGAUUAUGCUUUACUCCCGAGUAUACGCAAAUCAUGUGUUUUCCUAAUGUUAAAUUGACUUUCCAAGGAAGUAUAACAAUUAGUUAGAAAAUUGAAUUAUAUCACUAUUAUCAGAUCUUAAUUGUUGCAAGUGUGAUUAGUCAAUUAUUUGGGUUCAAUGACAUGACUAUUUGGAAACAACUGUUAAGGAUUCUUGAAAAAGGUCUGUUCGACCUUUGCGUGGUCAUCUACAUAUUUUGGUCUAUUCAAUAUAGAUGGGAGAUCCACAUUAGGACAAUUGAAUUUCAUAAUAGGGAAUUGUAAAGCUACAAAUGUUGAGCGAAGAAUUCUAAUAAUUCACUCAUUGAAUAACUUCAUUUCUUUGCUUUUUUGGUGAUUAACUAGAUUAUAAUCUACUUCUAACCCAAUGCAUUUGAAUCCUUCUUUCUUAGAAUGGAAAUCAAAUUCCUCUUCGAACACCAUUUUUAUUGGCAUUCGGAGGUUCAUGCAUUAUGUGUACAAGUGUUGAAUUUGAUAUCUGCACUAACUAAUUAAUGAUGUUGGAGAUAAGGUUUUGCCAUAUGCAAGUCAAUUGUCCAAUUUUUUUCUGCAAGGUAUAAUCCUCUUUAUCCUAUCAAUCAUAUUCAGUAUCUCCUCCAUAAAGUUUUUUGUUCCCAGCACGUUGAGAGGGAAAAUGAGAUUAAAUCAAAUCAUAAAUCUUAGGUUGUUUGGUGCUGCUAUGUUGAACAUUUGCUUAAUAUUUCUUUUAAU